GUUUUCCCAUGCAAGAGGGCUGAUGUUAUAACAGUAGAUUAUUAUUCCACAUUAUAAUUUCACCAGGUAAAGAAAGCUUUUAUGGUUCCCUGACUGAGGAUAAUCAACCCCUUCAUAAUUUAGAAUCCAAAGAUUGGAUCUUCUGAGAACAUCAGAGAAAGACUGCCCUUGCCAUCCACACUGCAACAAAACUUCAGAACCUUGAACCUUGGGUUCAUAAUCUCACAACAAAGAAGGGUCCCUCCAUGUUCUUGGAGCUGUACACCCAUUGGAACUCUUAAGACAUAUGGCCCUAAAGCACCUCAGAAGAAGCUGAAGGAAAUCAGCCUCCAUAGCUUUCAAGCCCCUGGACUCCUGGAGCCAGAAGUUAAUUCACACUCUGAUCUCAGAGAAGUUCAAGACCUUCAGCAGAACUUUUCCUGGCCAGGGCAUUUUUGCCCCUGAGAUAUGUCAUUAAACACUGUAACCAGGAACUUCUGUUCUUACCCCUGUCCUUCCCUUCACCUUUUAUAGUUACUAAAUGCAAUGUUUUAUUUUUC
rnacentral:lncRNA from 1 species